AAUCCCAUGAUAUAUAAUUAAAACCAAACGGGCCCUAAGGUUCAUGAAUAAAAACUUAAAAAGGCGCCUUCAAAGUUUCGUAGCAACUCUAUACUUACUAGAAGUUCAAUGACAAAAUCUAAUUUGUUUAAAGAGCUCUAGAAACAGAUGCCCAGUUAGGCCUUUGGCUAUCCUAGCUGCAAGUCCGGUGUUGUUAAAAGAUGAAGGGUUAUGUACUACAAAUAACAAAACCUAUUUCAUCAACUACACAUAAUCGAACUUAGCGAAAUCCACCGUAUAAUUUUGCACCGAGAGGAUUUAUGCUACUCUUUCAUGGCAAGAGUAGUCAUCCCGAAAAAUUCUUCAUUGGGUCUCAUCCAUUAUUUAAUAAUCUUUUGGCUGAUAGCAUCAACCGUGCGAUUAGUUGACUCCCUAAUUUCUGUAGCAGUAUUAUCUGCUGCUUCUCUUAUUGCCUCCACUAUCUCUUCGAACCCUGCAUCAUCCUCUCCAUUCCCAUUGUUGAAUCGACUGCUUUCCGUUGCAGCAACAGUAGCCAACUGCUUCUUUAAAAUAAAUCAGUUAUAAUAAUUUUCAAAAAAAUAUAAUAAUUCUUUUAAUUUUAACCGGUUAAAUUUUACUUAUAAAAAAAUGUUAACCGAAUUGUAACAUGUUGAAAAAAUAAAAUUUAUAUGAUUAUAAUUAUUAUGUGCCAUUAAUCUAAUCUAACGGUACAUAACAACUACGGCAUUGAUGCCGUGAUUUUAAUCACGGCAUCAUAGAAUUUUCCCUAUUUAUAAAGCAAAAUUUUCACUAAGCGACACAUGUUAUAAAAAAAAUCUUAGUUGAAAAUUGGAGGAGCAAAUUUCUUUUCUUUUCUUGUUUUUUAAAAUAGAAUAUUGCUGCUCAUUCAUUAUUUUUUGAAAUGGAUGUAUUCAACGGUCGUUAUAUAUAUAUGAUAAAAAGUUGAAAAAAAGUAUUUUUUUCUCAAGGAGCACUUUUUUUUUAUUUACGAUAUAUUAUAAUUAGAGUUUUUUUUUUGUUGAGUACUGAUAAUACAUCCAUCUACAAUCAGACAAACUGAUAAUAAUUACUGACAUUCACAAGCACUUGCCCAAAUGCAUAACCCUCAUAAAUAUUUGAGAGCUAGCAUUUUGUAAGAGAGAAAAACUACAAAUUAGCUCCACUUAAUUAAGUAUACUAUUAUGAUAUAGUACGAAUGUCAAUCUUAUUUUAUCCUAAAUGUGGGAGACAAGCAGACCCUUACAUACACAAAUAUUUUUUUUUCUUUACAGUAAUUCACUUGAAGUUUAUGAAAUGUAUCAUUUCUCCAUUACCGUUAAAUUUGUAGGGGAGAAAAAAAAAAAGGCAAUUAUCUUGCUGAAAUCAUAGAAGUAAAAUUAUCAUUUUACCUUAACAGCCAAAAAGUCAAGUCGUUUCACUCAUUUAAGUUAACAAUAGAAAGAGCAUAAAUGUCAAUUCAUUAUUCUAAAAAGAUUUUAUAUUUAUUUUUUUCUUUCAAAAUAAAAACUAUUGGCUCCCACUUCCAGAAUACAAAGAUCCCCAGAACCUUGAUCCAUAAUCAUCUUGGACAACUUUGAACUGAGAAAGUAAGAAAUCUAAUCCCCGUUCAAUCAAACAACCAAAUUUCUUCACUAAGUUCAGUUUCGUGUAGUCGAAAAUCCCAAUUUAUAAUACCCAAUAUCUGCUCCUAUAUCCUAAUUUUCGAACUUCUUCACAAAGUUUAGCUUUUGGCUAGAAGAUCACAAGCAUUAAACAUUAACCCAAAUUUAUAAAACAAAAUCACAACAAUCAAAUUUAGAAACACAAAAUACUCAAAUAACCCAUGAAAAUUUAAAACAAGAAGACCAAACCCUCAAAAAAUAGAAGUAGCGGCGGAUGCUGGGGUUCAACGAGGCAGCGUCGAGCUGACGCUUCUGGCGGCUGCUUUCACAUUCAAGAACCAGCAGCAAAGAAGAAAAACGAAGAAGAAGAAUAGAAGAAGACGAGAAGAACAAAGAAGCAUUGAAGAACCAGAAGCAGAGAAGAAAAUACGAACAAGAAGAAAAGAAGAAGCUCAGGAGAACGAAGCAGAAUAAAAGAAGAAGAAAAUUUUAUUUUUUAAAGAAAAAUAUAAAAUAUGAUUUUCUUUUUGGUACUAAAAUAGGGUAAAAUAGUCACUUAAUAUUUAAGGGUAAAAUGCUUAUUUAAUGUUUAAUUGUUUAUUUAGGACAAAACAAUCAUUUUAUGUUUGAGGUAAAAAGGUUAUUUAACCAAUAUUCUGUUUAUUCUCUUAACUCUAUCAAUGCGAAUGAGG
rnacentral:lncRNA from 1 species